rnacentral:rRNA from 1 species
UACGUAGGGGGCUAGCGUUGUCCGGAAUCAUUGGGCGUAAAGCGCGCGUAGGCGGCCCGGUAAGUCCGCUGUAAAAGUCCAGGGCUCAACCCUGGAAAGCCGGUGGAUACUGUCGGGCUCGAGUCCGGAAGAGGCGAGUGGAAUUCCUGGUGUAGCGGUGAAAUGCGCAGAUAUCAGGAAGAACACCCGUGGCGAAAGCGGCUCUCUGGGACGGUACUGACGCUGAGACGCGAAAGCGUGGGGAGCGAACAGG